GUAAAAAACCCACUGCCAUUUUGAAUUAAAAUUUAAGAAUUAAGACUACAGCUGCACUUAGACCAAAUCAUUAGCCAGGCUAAGAGAGACACAAACAGAUGAACUGCUCCCAAAACCAAACCCACAAUGAGACCAAUCUCAUUUUAAAUUGUCAGUUCAAAGCAACCCAGAGA